GCAGCUUCCGGGCGGCGUGUCCGCCCCGGUCCAGGACUGGACAGCGGGCCCCGCUACCGCCGGGGCUCCGCCGCCGGGCGAGCAGGCCCCGCGAGGCGGCAGGUGGAAGAGAGAGCCGUCGGCCAAGUCUGGGUCAAACCUCUCCAUCGUCAACCCACUGCAGGUGCUGAGACAGCGGCUUUUGCUGGAGAUCGUGAGACGCCGCAUGCGCCAGAAACAGACUCAGAUCAACGUGAAUUCAGAGUUUCUGCACGAAAUAGGAAAACGGCAUGCUGAGCAGCUAUACGGGCGGGAUCUCUACCAGCGACGACACAUUUCAAACUUACGGCAACCCACGCCAGCCCGAUGAAAAUUGAGCGCCAGCAUGGCGACAAGUUGUGAAAAACAGGUCGUGUCCUGAUGAUCUCAAGACUCACUCAGCCAAUAGUAUAUGGGCAUCGUAUCAGUAUUUUCGUCCCAUCUCCAAUAUAUGUAUAUAUACAUAUAUGUAUAUUCCGAAGGCCUAUUUUGCUACUUAACUCGGUAUUAGUUCAGAUCCUUCAAGCUAGGCGACUGAAAUCACUUGUUUUGUUGUAACUCCCGCCGAGUCCCCCGCGAGCAUUUGUCAAGGGCGGAACGUGCUGGAGAGGAAACAGCCACAACUCGUGGGUUGCAUCAAUUAACAUUUGCUUCUGCGUUGUGUGCCGGUGCGAACUCUCCUGGCCUACCGGUUAAGGCGUCAUAACAGCUCACUAUGGAAUAACUAUGAUGCGUUAUCAGGUCUGUGUGGGGUCCUUACGGGUAAGGCGAAGUGUCGUCAGGUAUCAAUUAUUUUGGCCCUACGAAACGACACGCAGGCUUUGUCCAAGACAUUCAGGAUUGGGUUGGCUCUGGACGCGCUCAGGCAGAGCGCCGCAUUUUUGGGCAGGGUGGAUAUCUGCACAGAUAAGAACGCGCCGCUCUUUGGGCGGGCCGCCAUUCUCAUGGCGUAUAUUUAUUGCUAUCAUUUGUGUCCCGAGUAUCGCUAGUCUGCUGUAUGGACAUGUCUCUGUAUAUCAUGUGCUUUGAUUUCAGGAAAUACAAUAUAGUAAUAGCAAAUACUUUUUCCGCGAUACCGUAGCAUAACGCAAAAACUGGCGCGUGACUGCUGGUGGAAUCAAUAAACCAUGCCUGGCUCCCAGUUCACCUUCGGGAUCCGUGUAUGCUCAUAUCUUGUCCGACCUGUCAUAUCCCAGACGCAUGUCUGGCUUAGCUAUAUUCAUCGAGAAAUACAUCAGG